UGUCCAGUGACAAACGGAAUUUCUCCUUUUGCCGUGGAUUCUUCCUGGACGACUGAGGGAUUUUACACCUGCACUUUAGUAGUACUUACAAUUUUACUCUUACUUGAGUAAUUUCUUGGACCACUACUUUGUGCUUCUACUUUAAUAAUAAUAUUUUCAAGUAAUAUUACCCUUGUACA